GCUGGCUCAGUCAGUGGAGCAUGUGACUCUUGAUCUCGGGGUUGUGGGUUCGAGCCCCACACUGGGCA
rnacentral:tRNA from 1 species